AUCUAACGGGGCCGAUACCAAAAGAACCAGCGCACCUUCCUCUUCCCGACCUACCCCACCUCGGACGAAACCCGCCAUCACCAUCGCUGAAAAACACAGAAAAUAGGCCGAAUUUUAUGUAAACUUUCUGAUGUUCGUUUCGACGAUUCCGGCCACCAAAUUUGUCGAUCUAGGUACUCUGACCUAGCGUACGCAGCAGGCGGGACCCUCUCAGGAUCAAGCAGCGUGGGACUAUCUGUGGUGCAUUGAAAUUUGAAGGAUGGCGAUGAGAUGUUGAUCUUCUUCUUAUAAACAUAACUACUAAUUCUCUUAAAGGGGCAUGG